UCACAAGGCAGCCUCAAAAUUGCUCUUGAGCGCUAAACUUCAAGAACAGCAUUUCCAAAUUACUUUUACUUUGGUGCUUCCUGUAAGAAUUAUGGGAUGUCUCAAAGAGAAGUGUGCCACAGACUUAAGACUCGGUUACCUCUCCCCCAACAGCUGGCAGCACCCACACCUCACUGGGCUGCUGGAGCACAUUCAGGACAUUCAGAUGGAGGUGGCUCCUUCACUCCCAGAUGUCUCAGAUGUCACGUCUGGUUCAUUUGAAAGACCUGUCAGCUGAGAGCCGCUGCUGGCUCCCCACAAAGCAGGCAAAGCUCAAGCACCCACUUCCUGCAGGGGGAACUUGAAGAGUGAACAGGAAAUAAAGCUGCAAACUCUACUGUGAAUAAGAAGAGCAAACUUCAAAUUAUGAACCGGGUCCUGUGCUCUGUGAUGCUGUUUUUAACUCAAGUACAGAUACCCAAACAGCAUGAAGCAGUAACCUGGAUUCACUCCACCACGCUUCAGCCACAUGACUGGGUCAAAUAAGGAUCUGCUCAUCUAUUCAAAGAUUAACAGCAGAAAACGUCCUUGUUUAAGAUCAGCAAUACAAGACCUUCAUCGCCAGUGACCUUCCAACUCAACAAAGACUGGAUUGUUUUUCCAGACACUGUGAGCUGAAGGCAUCCUUUCACUCUAAGACACAUAACGGAUGAGAAUACAAGCAUUAAUAUAAAUUCCUCACUAAAGAGAGAAGCUGACCUCGUGACUCUCUCACUAGGUCGUCUAAACUGAAUCCUGACUGCCAAAACAGUACCUGUGCACAUCUCCACCAACAUGAAGAAACCGUAAGCCUCUGCCCAGAGGCAGUACACAUUGUCUGCGCAUGGGAAAAUCUCCAGGUAGUGUUGAGAAGCGAGAUGAUUUCUUAGAGCUGUUAAUGCCCAAGGUACAAUCCCCAUAGAGAAAACAUGAUUGCAAAAGAGCCCCUGGAGAGAUCUAACCAGCGUAAGCAUGCUGCUGGGAGACAUUAUGAGCUGGGCCAAGACAGAGCAGCACCACAGCUGCUUUGCACUCACCAAGUGAACUCCAGCACUUUGGGAGUCACGAGAGCUGUGGUGGGCCUCCCCCACGCACGGCGAACUCCUCCAUCAAGCACAACUCAGCCUGAGCUGACAUCUGGGCCUUAUGUUUUCAUCUCCUAGGCAGAUAGCUUCCACAACUUUAGAGAUACAACACUCAGGCACUGGAGGUAUACGGUACAGGAGAGAUGCUUCAAUAACACGUGAAGCUGCUGCAAGGAAAAAAUGUUGUGUAAAAAGCCAGCAGCCAUCAGAAAUGCUGGAAGAGGGUUGCUUGCUGCGGUUUACAUUCAGCCCAGUAGUAGAGGUCAGGCCAGCUACAGUGCUGAGUAUAAAG
ensembl:lncRNA